GAAACAUUUGUAAAAUAUUCAAGCAUUGUGCAUGGCUGACAGGACUGAAUCAGUUGUGCGUGGCUAAGAGGACAGAGUCAGGUGUGUGUGGCUGAGAGGACAGAGUCAGGUGUGCGUGGCUGAGAGGACAGAGUCAGGUGUGCGUGGCUGAGAGGACAGAGUCAGGUGUGCGUGGCUGAGAGGACAGAGUCAGGUGUGCGUGGCUGAGAGGACAGAAUCAGGUGUGCGUGGCUGAGAGGACAGAAUCAGUUGUGCGUGGCUGAGAGGGCAGAAUCAGGUGUGUGUGGCUGAGAGGACAGAGUCAGGUGUGUGUGGCUGAGAGGACAGAAUCAGGUGUUUGUCUGUGUAUGUGUCAGGUGAUAGUGUACUGACUGUACGCAGAGUGUAGGGAGGGCUCUCCUCUCAUCUCCUUAUGUAUGUGUCCCCUGACUCCACUCCGGC
ensembl:lncRNA